rnacentral:rRNA from 1 species
UGUGUAGGUGGCCAUGUAAGUCAGGUGUGAAAGCCCCGGGCUCAACCCGGGAAGUGCAUUUGAUACUGCGUGGCUUGAGUACCGAAGAGGGUAGUGGAAUUCCAGGUGUAGUGGUGAAAUACGUAGAUAUCUGGAGGAACACCGGUGGCGAAGGCGGCUACCUGGUCGAGUACUGACACUGAGACACGAAAGCAUGGGGAUCAAACA